rnacentral:rRNA from 1 species
GUCUACAGCCAUGCCACCCUGAACAAGCCCGAUCCUGUCUGAUCUCGGAAGCUAAGCAGGGUCGGGCCUGGUUAGCACUUGGAUGGGAGACCACCUAGGAAGACCAGGUGCUGUGAGUG